CUUCCAAAUAUGGUGACCAAUAAAAAGCAAGUUCAGGUUAAAUGUCAAAGGUAGCUCUAGGCAAAGUUUUGCCUUUACUGUCAUUUACUGUUACUGUUCCUUCCACUUAUUCAUCCUGCCUCAAACUCUGUGAUUUGGGAAUAAAAGUGAUGAAUAAAGUCCCCAUCAAGAGGAUAACAAUUUAUUAUUCAUCUUACAAAAAUCUCCUUCUUACGAAGAAUCUGCUCCCCAAUGAAGCUUACCUUGACUGUCACAGGAAGAUUACUCAGGAUAUUAAUGAAAUCCGAGAAAGCAUAUUGUUCAUCUAAUCUAACCCUUCUGCCAUGAGACGAAGUUACUGAGAAUGAUCUGAAGACUAGUGAAAUGUGUUGAUGAGUCUUGGACAUUUAUUUUUCUGCCACUGAGAGCAGACUUUCCAACAAUCACUCAGUCAUUUAAACAUAAGGCACCUUGAUGUUAAAUAAAUAAGAAAAAUAAAUAAAUAAAAUAAAAAUA
ensembl:lncRNA